UACGUAGGGUGCGAGCGUUGUCCGGAAUUAUUGGGCGUAAAGGGCUCGUAGGCGGUUUGUCGCGUCGGGAGUGAAAACCUACAGCUUAACUGUGGGCUUGCUUUCGAUACGGGCAGACUAGAGGUAUGCAGAGGAGAACGGAAUUCCUGGUGUAGCGGUGAAAUGCGCAGAUAUCAGGAGGAACACCGGUGGCGAAGGCGGUUCUCUGGGCAUGAUCUGACGCUGAGGAGCGAAAGUGUGGGGAGCGAACAGG
rnacentral:rRNA from 1 species